CAGGACACAAGCGUGGCUUUGUGAUAGGGAAUAAAUAGUCAGGAUUUGCAUUCUGCAUUAUGCAAGCCAAAAGGUUGCUUUGAGCUUUUUAGUUAUGCCUUAAGGUGUCAAAAUUAAAAAAGAUUACACAGUUAUUGUUAUCUAUGUUCAGUGCGACUGUAAAGGAAAAUGACUGGAACGUUAUUAGGUAUUUCAUGUAGCCAAACCUUUUUUUUAGCAUUUUGCCUCUGUUGGAUACCGAUAGUGAAGAUAGACAGGAAGAAACACAGCAGGGGGCUACUGCCGCUGCUUUCUGCCCACACGGCACGUGGCCUGUCGCCUGGUCGCCUCUAAGCUAAAUCGGUGCCCACUUACAGCCCCAUCUUUGACACAAACUGCAUUUGUGGUCAGAAUGGGCAUGGAUGUCAUGGUAAUUGUGGGAUAUUAAUGGUUUCUUUGAACUGUUCUUUUUCUAAAGUGGAAUGAUGGUACAGCAUACAUGACUUUCUUUAAUUUUCUUUUUUUUGCCUGUCCCAUUUGGUUCAUUAGCCGUCAGAAUUGUUGUCUGAAAACCAACAAGGAUACCCAAUGGAUUUACUUUGCCAAAUGGAUCAUCGUGGCAUUGCCGUACUGGUCCAUUUGAUUGACCUUUGUUGUUAUUAUUUAUUUUAUUUUAUUUUAUAUCUUAUUUUAUUGAGAAAGGGCACUUAAAAAGAGAAAGAAGAGAAAAAUAUCUCCUGGAUCACCUGUUGAGAGAAAAAGAAGAGAAACAAGCAAAAAAAACCAUACUAAACACAAAACCAUCGCAUUAAUCUAGCUAAGUGUAAACAGCAGUAAAUACUAAAUAUUCAAUGUUGUUGUGCAGCACGCAGGACCGACAGCGCACAAUGUGCUUUGAAGUAGCAGCCAAGAAAGGUGCAGUUUUUAAAUUUAUCUGGGCUAGUGUAGAUGUAGCCUUGUGGAGGAGUAAAGGUGAGGCUUUUGAACUUAAGAACACUGUAGAAAAUACAAAAAAUAUUCAAACUUGAGCACCCAAUUCUUGUUUCGUAGUCAUUAAAGAUGUAUGUAUUGACGAAAUUAUUAUAAAC
ensembl:lncRNA